rnacentral:rRNA from 1 species
AUUGGAUUUGGCGGCGAAAUAACUUUUUAGAGGAACCUGCCCUAUAAACGACGGACCACGAUUUAUCUUACUUUUUUUAGUAAUCAGUUUAUAUACCGCUGUUGUCAGUUAGUUUUUAUAAAAAAUUAUCUAUAAUAAUAUUAUUAAGGACUUCAAGUAAAGGUGUAAUUUAUGGAAAAGAAAGAGGUGGGUUACAAUUGAUUAAUCAAUAACGGAUAUAUUAUAUGAAAUUAAGUGUUUAAGGAGGAUUUAAAAGUAAAAUUUUUAGCAAAUUUGAUAGUAGCAAUAUUUUGUGUACAAACCGCCCGUC